UGGAAGUGGUGAAGGAUCAACACUAAACCUCCCUUUACCUGGAGGAUCCGGUGAUACAGCAAUGCGAACAGUUUUUGAUGAAGUUAUUGUACCGUGUGCUCAAAGGUUCAAGCCAGAUAUAAUCCUUGUUUCAGCUGGGUAUGAUGCCCAUCUGUUGGAUCCACUUGCCAGCUUACAGUUCACAACAGGAACAUAUUACAUGCUAGCCUCCAGCAUUAAGCAACUUGCUAAAGAUUUAUGUGGGGGACGUUGCGUGUUUUUCUUAGAAGGGGGAUAUAAUCUCAGUUCUCUGUCAAAUUCAGUUGCAGAAUCAUUUCGUGCUUUUCUUGGUGAUCGGAGCUUAGCUUCAGAGCUCGAUGAUCCAUCCUACUUGCACGAAGAGCCAUUGAAGAAGGUGAAGCAGAUUAUUGAAAAAGUGAAGCACAUACAUUCCUUUUGAAAGCUUAUAUUGGCAGUGGUCAAGAAUUAUUAUACAGCUUUGUAUAGGACACCAUGACUUUUCUAUAAUUUGUAUACAGCUUUGUUUAGUAUAUACACAUAUAAAUUAUAUUGAUGUUGUAAA
rnacentral:misc_RNA from 1 species